AGCAGCAGUGGCAGUAUCGUAGCUAAUGAGGUUAAUCCGAGGCGUGAUCAUUGCUAGUUGAAAACUUUUCCCAAUACCUGGCACGUAAAUACCUUGCCACACUGGCUACAAAAGUGCCAUGCAAACGCCUGUUCUCACUUUUAGGUG
rnacentral:snRNA from 1 species